GACGAACGCUGGCGGCGUGCUUAACACAUGCAAGUCGAACGGAAAGGCCCUGCUUUUGUGGGGUGCUCGAGUGGCGAACGGGUGAGUAACACGUGAGUAACCUGCCCUUGACUUUGGGAUAACUUCAGGAAACUGGGGCUAAUACCGGAUAGGAGCUCCUGCUGCAUGGUGGGGGUUGGAAAGUUUCGGCGGUUGGGGAUGGACUCGCGGCUUAUCAGCUUGUUGGUGGGGUAGUGGCUUACCAAGGCUUUGACGGGUAGCCGGCCUGAGAGGGUGACCGGCCACCCGGGAACGGAGACACGGUCCAGGGUGCUACGGGCGGCAGCAGUGGGGAAUAGUGGACAAAGGGGGGGAGGCGGAUCCAGGCAUCCCGCGUGGGUGAAGGAGGCGUUAGGGUGGGAGAGCCGUUUUGUGGGGAAGGAAAAGCAGCAGGUGAAUACACCGCUGGUCUGACGGUACAAAAAGAAUAAGCACCGGCUAACUUCGUG
rnacentral:rRNA from 1 species